rnacentral:lncRNA from 1 species
CCCCGUCAUGGCCGCUGUCGCGACAGCGCGAUCGCGACUCAGCGCCGUGGCCGCGGACGAGGGAGGGCCCCGCCGCCAUCCCCUCCCUCCUGCGCUCGGUGUCGGCGCUGGGAGCCAAGGCCAGGAGCUGCCAGAGGAGAGGAAGGGGGCGUGGUGGGUCAGUGCAGGACCCAAAAUGAGAGAAACCCCUGAGAAGCCAAGGGGUUGAGGCAGAAUUGAUCCUGGGUGGGUCGCUGCUUGAUUUCUCAAGGAAAAGAAGGAAAAUGAAGAGUGCCAGCCAUAUGUGGAAAAAGGGGAUUACCUUGGUCCAGGUGAAGAAUCCGGCUGGCUCGCCGGGAUCCGAAGCAGUUGCUGGCGAUGGUUUCGCUGUCGCUGUAGUCCUCCUCGGGCUGCAGGUGGCAAACGCUGUCAGCAGCGCCAGCAAUAAGGCAAAAUGGGUAAAAUGGGAUAGAAAUGGAGGAGGAAUUUGCCGUACCGCUGACUCCCUGCUCUCAUUCGAGGGGCUUGUCCGGCCAGGUUUGGGCUGUGGCAGGGCUGGAGCUGCCGUGGGAAGAGAUGGCGUUAAGGGUUGUUGUGUGUAGAACAAUCACCACUCUGCUGGCUGCACUCCUUGCUCAGAUUCCCGAGGGAUCCGCAGCACAUGCCACCUUUGUUGCUCACACUUUCCAGACAACUUUGGAAGUUGGAGUGCCCACCAUCAUCACUUCUAUGUCUCCCCCAGCGCCCUCCCCUUACCUGCGGGCAGCUGGGUUCUUUGAAUGACAGGCUCUGGAAUUUUCCAGCAGCCGCUCUCCUUGUCCCACAGGCCUGAUCGUCUCCAGGUUGCUGUAGUUGCAGGCACGCUGCACCUGACCCAGCAGCUGCUGGCAGAGCAGCAGGUCUCGCUCCUGGUGCCGGAUGGUGCUCAGGUUAUCCAUCUUCUCCAGCCCAAACUCCAACUGCAGGUCUUUGAUCUCCAUCUCGGCAGCCCAGAGCUGGAUACAAACCAUCAGGGUUAUAAGGCAGAGAGACCAAUGCAUACCACAAGGAAUUCGCCAAGCAGAGAAAGAUACUCAGGAAAGCUUUAAUAUUUGAAAAGUUUUCUAAUUUAGGUACAAAUUAGGAUUAAAUUUAUUUUGAGAGAUUACUCCAUGUCUGUUUUAAAGGAAGUUUUCUCAUGUUUCUCCACAGGGAUGAUUUUUGAAUGAACCUGAAGCUAAUCUUACUGAUGUGGUCUUUGAACUCCUGGAAUUUCCUAACUUUGGUUUAAAAAGGUGCAAUAUUUCUUUGAUAACCUAAAUACUCAAAUAAAGCAAGUCCUUCAUGUGCAGGUCUAGGACUGUACACAAAAAUGUAAGUUUUUUUUUGCAGGCACACUGAUUCUGUCACAAAAUAUCAGAGCAAAACUGAUUUUUAAGUGCUUUGAAAAUGAAGAUUUUUAAAUGUAAAAUUUAAGAGCAUUACUUUUAUGCUUUGUUUUUUGCCCCAGAGAGCGUGCUCAGAACUGGAAGCAGCUGCAGCAGAUCUGGAGGUCGGCAGAGGGAGUCGCAUCCCCUCCCAUCCCAACACAUGCUCCUCCCGGCAAGUGUCACACACUGAGCCUUUACAACUUGGGGGGUUUGGGCUUCAAAAGCUUAAUCCCCCACCUGAGGGGUUUCAUAAAAGCUCACACACAAUGUGGUGUAUGAAAUACUGACACAGCCAGAGGCACUCUCUAAACUACAGCUCUGUAAUGUAAAAAAUGGGGAUGUGGAGGAGGAAGGAGUUGCUCUCUCACCUUCUCCUGCACCUUGCCCUUGGCUUGAACCUCCUCCUGGAUGGAGUCCUGGACAUUGAGGAGAGCCUGCUUGCUGCUGUCCUCGAGGGAUUGCUGCAGGGCAGCCACCAGCUGCAGCCUCCCGCGUAUUUCCUCCGGCGUUUGUGCUUUUCCUUCAGGUCCUUGUUCUCAGCCUGCUCCCCCCUGACCACCUGCUGCUCCAGCACCUGCAGAAGGGAACACUGAGCUCAAGAACCAGCUUCACAAGCAUGGAGGAUGCACGUCCUUCCACGGGUGACAUUUGGGAAGACACAGAAAAUUGAGGAUUAUGAUAAGAUUUUCUGCCCUGAGUAAUCAUAGCAAAUCCUACUUAUUAUUAACAGUUUCUGUCAUAAAAAGAAUUCCAGAAUGGUUUGGGUUGGGAAGCACCUUAAAGUCCAUCUCAUCCCACCCCUGCCAUGGGCAGGGCCACCUCCUGCUCUCCCAGGUUGCUCCAACCCUCUCCAACGUGGCCUUGGACACUUGCAGGGAUCACGGGGCAGCCACAGCUUCUCUGGGCAAAAUACACAUGUAUUACUCCAAGCACCUCAGUCAACAAGGAUGUCCAGAAAUCCGUAUCUAAGCUCACAAAAUUAUCUUUAAAACUCUUGUUUUGUGUACUUUAUAUUUAAAUUCUUAUUUAAAUAAACAUGGAAUA